rnacentral:rRNA from 1 species
UACGUAGGGUGCGAGCGUUGUCCGGAAUUAUUGGGUGUAAAGAGCUCGUAGGCGGUGUGUCGCGUCGGUCGUGAAAACUUGGGGCUUAACUCUGAGCUUGCGGUCGAUACGGGCAUCACUGGAGUUCGGCAGGGGAGACUGGAAUUCCUGGUGUAGCGGUGAAAUGCGCAGAUAUCAGGAGGAACACCGGUGGCGAAGGCGGGUCUCUGGGCCGAUACUGACGCUGAGGAGCGAAAGCGUGGGGAGCGAACAGG